AUAGCUUUAGUUAUGGAUUUGAAUGUGUUCCGAUUGCCAAUUAAAUCAUAUUUAAGGCACAAAUUCUCAUAUGAUAUGAUACAGCCACUACUAUUAACUAAAUGAGACACCAACCAAAUACCUUUCACUAUCCAGUCCAGUAGCGGUAUUAACAUUUUGUGGUAUGGAAUCUUAUGUUUUGGUGUCUCUGGCACAUGCCGCUGGGUUUUGUGGCACAUCUGGAAGUUGUGGCACAUGCCAGUGAUUUUGUGGCACUGACAUAUGCCGCUGCAUUUUGAUACCGUCGAUAAACACUUGAGGAGAAGUCGGCAGCACAUACACAAAAAUUUACUGUGCUGUAAAAAAAAAUUAGGCAUAAAUGCAGUACAGUGUUUGUACUGACAUGGCAGAAAAUGAAAGGUAAGUGGCAACUGUCGGUGUUGUUUUAACUAAUCGGGUUAGCUAUUAGCUAAAGAAAGAAGUAUCUCUGGAUAAUAGAUGAACCCUUGAUGCACCCAGAAAUUAUUUAUUAUUCUUAACAACACUGUUUCAAAGUGUGUCAUGCUCCCAGCAUUUAUUUCCACAUGGAGAAAACAGAUCAUUCAAAAAUAUCUCCACUUGAAACUUAUCGGAUUUGAUAGUGUAUUGCUGAACAUUUUUAUGGUUGUAAAUUUAAAGUCUCAUGUUUUAUUGGAGUAUUUCGUGGUAAUACCUAAUUUAUUAUUUAUUCUUUAAAUGACUUUAAACCUGAAGGCACUAUAGGUUUUUCCUUGAUGUGUCAGUCAGCAUGAGAGCCCUGAGCCUGGCUGGGGAUCACUUCAUUCUGUGGUAAGGGUAAAAUAUUGAGAUAGUACAAUUGGGUUUGAAAUGUAUGGUGUAUAGUUUAGUCUGGCUCUUAUGUUGUUUUUGUUUUAUGUAUAUGAAUCAAAAACUAUGAUUUGUUGGGGCUUUUAGAAAGACAUACCAGAGUGGUACAUGGAUUUAUUAGUUAUAUUGCAUGUCUAUUGCACAUUCUAUUGCAUGUUCAUGUAAAAGCAGGUGAAUGUUAACAAACUUUAACCAUUUAAUGUGUAUCAUUUGUAAUAGUAUCUUUAAGUUCAUUCAUAUUUAACAAUUUACCUCAUAGGGCAUGUAGAAACUGGAAAAAGUAAUUAAGGUGCAUCACUGGUGACUGUCAUGCAUUCUGUUUCUAGAAAGUGGGCCAAGAAUAGGCCUUGUUCAUUUUAAACCACUCUAAGAUUUUAAGGCAGUUCACGUUUAACUCUUUUUUUCCUUCUUGUUUUAACAAAAUUUUUUAUCACACAAUAACAGGUUAUUGUAUCCAAGUGCUGCAAGGUUGUAGUGGGUACAGUGUGAUGUAUGUUUAGGUUGGCUGCACACUGAUUCUGCUGGAGUUACUGAGAGUAAGAUGCAACCCUACACUUCUGAUGGAUUUUAUCUGAGGACAUGCUUUGAUCUAUGAGACCCAGAAAGUGGCCUUCCUCCACCAGCUGUGAUGUCAACUUUCAAGGCUUCUUCUAGAAGCAGGGUACCACUGUGAGACCUCUGCUGACAUGGACAUGAUGGCAUUUUGUUUUCCUCUUGUAGAGAACACUGUAUUUAAUGUUGUGUUCUUGGUUUAGACACCAUUAGCAGUUAGAGAGAGGUGAAAGUUACAGCUCUGUAUUUGGAAAGGCACUAAUGUCUUCCUGCAACAAUGUUCACAAGUCUACCUUGUGUGUACAUUGCAUGUUUCUGCAACAGUAUGCAUAACUGUGUAUUUAAGCAAUUAUUCUCUCUUAAGCUUUUGACAAAGGUGCACUCGUAACAUCUAUGUGUGUGUGAACAGUUAAAGGCACAGAUAACAUCUCUGUGUGUGAACUUGAAGACACAUAAUCACACUUUGUGUGAUCUGAUGAAGAUAAAUAAA